rnacentral:rRNA from 1 species
CAGGCCUAACACAUGCAAGUCGAACGGUAACAGGAAAAAGCUUGCUUUUUUGCUGACGAGUGGCGGACGGGUGAGUAAUGUAUGGGGAUCUGCCGAAUGGAGGGGGACAACUGCUGGAAACGGCAGCUAAUACCGCAUAACGUUGAAAGACCAAAGCGUGGGACCUUCGGGCCACGUGCCAUUUGAUGAACCCAUAUGGGAUUAGCUAGUUGGUGGGGUAAAGGCCUAUCAAGGCGACGAUCUCUAGCUGGUCUGAGAGGAUGACCAGCCACACUGGAACUGAGACACGGUCCAGACUCCUACGGGAGGCAGCAGUGGGGAAUAUUGCACAAUGGGGGAAACCCUGAUGCAGCCAUGCCGCGUGUAUGAAGAAGGCCUUCGGGUUGUAAAGUACUUUCGGUAAUGAGGAAGGGGUGUUAUCUAAUAGGUGACACCAUUGACGUUAGUUACAGAAGAAGCACCGGCUAACUCCGUGCCAGCAGCCGCGGUAAU